rnacentral:rRNA from 1 species
UACGUAGGCAGCGAGCGUUGUUCGGAGUUACUGGGCGUAAAGGGUGUGUAGGCGGUUGUUUAAGUUUGGCGUGAAAUCUCCCGGCUCAACUGGGAGGGUGCGUCGAAUACUGAAUGACUUGGAGUGCGGGAGAGGAAAGUGGGAAUUCCUGGUGUAGCGGUGAAAUGCGUAGAUAUCAGGAGGAACACCGGUGGUGUAGACGGCUUUCUGGACCGUAACUGACGCUGAGACACGAAAGCGUGGGUAGCAAACAGG